rnacentral:rRNA from 1 species
AUCUAUGACCACACCACCCUGAAUGCUCCCAAUCUUGUCUGAUUUUGGAAAUGAAGCAGAGUCAGGCCUAGUUAGUACAUGGAUGGAUAAUAAACAAGAGAAGUCAGAGAAU